rnacentral:rRNA from 1 species
GCUCAGGAUGAACGCUAGCGGCAGGCCUAACACAUGCAAGUCGAGGGGUAACGAUGGCUUCGGCCAGGCGGCGACCGGCGCACGGGUGAGUAUCGCGUUUGUAACCUGCCUCUAACUGGAGGAUAGCCCGAAGAAAUUCGGAUUAAUACUCCAUAAAGCCAUGAUUUGGCAUCAUUUCAUGGUUAAAGCUCCGGCGGUUAGAGAUGGGCAUGCGUGACAUUAGUUAGUUGGUGAGGUAACGGCUCACCAAGACAACGAUGUCUAGGGGGUCUGAGAGGAUGGUCCCCCACACUGGUACUGAGACACGGACCAGACUCCUACGGGAGGCAGCAGUGAGGAAUAUUGGUCAAUGGGCGCAAGCCUGAACCAGCCAUGCCGCGUGAAGGAUGACAGCCCUAUGGGUUGUAAACUUCUUUUGUACGGGAAGAAACACUUCUACGUGUAGAAGCUUGACGGUACCGUACGAAUAAGCAUCGGCUAACUCCGUGCCAGCAGCCGCGGUAAUACGGAGGAUGCAAGCGUUAUCCGGAUUCAUUGGGUUUAAAGGGUACGUAGGCGGGAGAUUAAGUCAGUGGUGAAAUCCUGCAGCUUAACUGUGGAACUGUCAUUGAUACUGGUCUUCUUGAAUAUAGUUGAAGUAGGCGGAAUGUGUAAUGUAGCGGUGAAAUGCUUAGAUAUUACACAGAACACCUAUUGCGAAGGCAGCUUACUAAACUAUGAUUGACGCUGAGGUACGAAAGCGUGGGGAGCGAACAGGAUUAGAUACCCUGGUAGUCCACGCUGUAAACGAUGAUCACUCGUUGUUGGCGACAUAUUGUCAGCGACUGAGCGAAAGCAUUAAGUGAUCCACCUGGGGAGUACGAUCGCAAGAUUGAAACUCAAAGGAAUUGACGGGGGCCCGCACAAGCGGAGGAACAUGUGGUUUAAUUCGAUGAUACGCGAGGAACCUUACCUGGGCUUAAAUGUAGAACGACGGAUCGGGAAACUGAUCUUUCUUCGGACGGUCUGCAAGGUGCUGCAUGGCUGUCGUCAGCUCGUGCCGUGAGGUGUCGGGUUAAGUCCCAUAACGAGCGCAACCCUCAUCAUUAGUGACCAGCGGGUAAUGCCGGGGACUCUAAUGAAACUGCCGGUGU